AGUUUAGAGGACAGGAGGAAAUCCUUCCCUUGGAGGGUGGGGAGGCCCUGGCACAGGUUGCCCAGAGAAGCUGUGGCUGCCCCUGGAUCCCUGGAAGUGUCCAAGGCCAGGUUGAACAGGGCUUGGAGCAACCUGGGC